AGGAUGAACGCUAGCGACAGGCCUAACACAUGCAAGUCGAGGGGCAUCGGGACGUAGCAAUACGUUGCCGGCGACCGGCGGAUGGGUGAGUAACGCGUAUGCAACCUACCCGUAGCAGGGGGAUAGCCCGUUGAAAGACGGAUUAAUACCCCGUAACACAGGGGCUCGGCAUGGAGAUUAUUGUUAAAGGGUCAUUUCNUUUUCAGGGAUGGUCCGGCUACGGAUGGGCAUGCGUUCCAUUAGGUAGUUGGUGUAGGUAACGGCUCACCAAGCCGACGAUGGAUAGGGGAACUGAGAGGUUGGUCCCCACACUGGUACUGAGACACGGACCAGACUCCUACGGGAGGCAGCAGUG
rnacentral:rRNA from 1 species